rnacentral:rRNA from 1 species
ACGGAAGGCAGCAGUGGGGAAUAUUGGGCAAUGGGCGCAAGCCUGACCCAGCGACGCCGCGUGAGGGAAGAAGGUCUUCGGAUUGUAAACCUCUUUCAGCAGGGAAGAAGCAAGUGACGGUACCUGCAGAAGAAGUCACGGCUAACUACGUGCCAGCAGCCGCGGUAAUACGUAGGUGGCGAGCGUUAUCCGGAAUUACUGGGUGUAAAGGGUGUGUAGGCGGAGAAGCAAGUCAGGCGUGAAAUUUAUGGGCUCAACUCAUAAACUGCGUUUGAAAAUGUUCCCUUGAGAGUGGGAGAGGUAAACGGAAUUCCUGGUGUAGUAGUGAAAUGCGUAGAUAUCAGGAGGAACACCGGUGGCGAAGGCGGUUUACUGGACCACAACUGACGCUGAGACACGAAAGCGUGGGGAGCAAACAGGAUUAGAUACCCUGGUA